rnacentral:rRNA from 1 species
CACCGCGGUUAUACGAGAGGCCCAAGUUGAUAGACAUCGGCGUAAAGCGUGGUUAAGACAAGAACAAAACUAAAGCCGAACACCUUCAGAGCUGUUAUACGCACCCGAAGAUAAGAAGUUCAACCACGAAAGUGGCUUUAUUCCCCCUGAACCCACGAAAGCUACGAUA